UACGGAGGGGGCUAGCGUUGUUCGGAAUUACUGGGCGUAAAGCGCACGUAGGCGGCUUUGUAAGUUAGGAGGUGAAAGCCCGGGGCUCAACCCCGGAAUGGCCUUCAAAACUCCUGGGUCUUGAGUUCGAGAGAGGUGAGUGGAAUUCCGAGUGUAGAGGUGAAAUUCGUAGAUAUUCGGGAGGAACACCAGUGGCGGAAGGCGGCUCACUGGCUCGACAACUGACGCUGGAGGUGCGAAAGCGUGGGGAGCAAACAGG
rnacentral:rRNA from 1 species